GGAUGGGCUCCUAGCAGCGGUUGCGUCCCUCCUGGAUUUCCUCUUCAGGCCUGAAGCGCAGCCUUUGGAGGCGCGGGGCUUUUCCCAGUCUCAUGUAUCCCCCUCGCAGCGGGAGGAGGAGGAGGCGUAGCCGUGUCGGUAGCGAGGGUUUGGGAGGCUCCGAGACAGUUCGGUUCCCCUUUUCCGUCCCACUCCUUUGGACCUCUUGGCAAUUUCAUCCCUGAGUGAAGUGUUUGUGCUAAUUCCUUCCCUCCGUGGGAAGCUGGUGCCCAACGCCUCCGAAAUCGUGGACUGCGUGAGUAUCUUGAAUAACACAUCUGUACAUAGUUUAUUGACUGAGCACAAUGAGCAGUGAAGAAGAAGCAUGGGAGAAAUUGGAUUCAGAAUUUGACCAUUAUGUUGUGGAUAUGAAGUCUUAUGUUUUAAAACUACCUCAUAAAUCAGAACGUUACAGAUGUGCUGUUUGGAUUAAAAAACUUUGUGAGCCUUCAGGUGCUGGUACAGGAAUUGUUGGUAGAAAGAAUAGAAACUUAUAUGCAAAACUGCUUCUUCAUAUGCUAAAGCGAGGAGUGCUGGAAGGACCAUUUACACAAAAACCUGAAUCAGGCAUAUUGAAAACACUUCCAUCAUACAUGUCAAUCUAUUUUGAUGAACCAAGUUCAAAAAGAGCUUGGAGUAACAUGCCAGAAGAUUUACGUGACUGGGUCAUGGAAGAAUUGGGCCAAAGUGACUAUAAACCAGAUGAAUCCUGGAAACUUUCCUUUAAAGAAGAGUCUGCUUUGGUUAGCACACCAUCUAAACAAAGAGAACAAUAUACCUGUAAUGGAAAACUAGCCUUAAGAUCACAUUCUACGAGUCCUCCUCAUUUGUCAGAAGAUGAGAACUUUCCAUCAAAGACAAGGGGAGAUUGUUAUAGAAGAAAAACUUCUUUUGAUGACAGUGACUUUGACGCUCGUCUCAACAGUUGGAAUCUUGGGCUUGAAAAUCCUAGAUAUUUACGUGAGAAACCUAUGUCUCUCUCAUUGAUGUCACCCAAGUUAGGUAUGGGGAAAAACAGCACUUCUCGAGAUGAACAAGCAUUAUUCCGAAUACAUGAAAAGGAGCUGGAGAUGAAAUCAAAAUUGAUGGAAGCUAGACUUCAUGAAGAAAAACUUAAAUUACAGCAGAAGCACGAUGCAGAUGUUCAAAAGAUUCUGGAUAGAAAAAACAAUGAAAUUGAGGUACUGAAGAGCUUGUAUAUAACCAAACAGAAUGAAGCUGAAGAGACUAUUCAGAAGCUUGAAAAAAAAGUUCAGACACUUGUUCGUGAGUCACAAGUCAUCAGAGAAGCUCAAGAGAAACAAAUUCUGGAGUUAAAAAAGUUAUGUGAGCACAGUACAGAUUCCCUGAACAAUGAAUGGGAGAAAAAGCUCCAUAAUGCGGUAGCUGAGAUGGAAAAAGACAAGUUUAAUCUUCAGAAAAAACACACAGAAAAUAUCCAAGAAUUGCUGGAGGAUACAAAUGCACGUUUAAGUAAAAUGGAAGCAGAAUAUUUGGCAGAGACCAAAACAACUAACCAGAUGGUCAAAGAGCUGGAGGCCCGAGUCCAUCAGUUGACAAUGGAAGCUGAAACAAGUCAUUUGCAGCAUCAGAAAUUAUCUCAAGAAAAAAAUAAUCUGGAACAGUCUUACCAGGUUGCAUCUUUAGAACUUGAAGAAAUUAAGGCAAGGCAUAAUUCACUUCAGAAGGAAAGAGGGCGCAUGAUGGAAGAACAUAAACAGAACAUUAAACAAUUACAAAGCAAGUAUGAAGUGGAUCUAAAUUUGAUGAAGAGGGAACAUGCUCUUUCUGCAAUGAAGACAUCUGAUGUGAUAGAGGAUUUAAAGCAGUGUGUGUCUCAAUUAAAACAACAGUUAGUAGAAUCAGACCAUCAAAGGCAACAACAAUUGCAGGAACAAGAGCAAAUGUUUCUACAAGAAACAACUGAUUUAGAGAGAAUUCAUGAAAAAAAGAUUUAUGAAAUUCAGAGUGAUUUUGAUAAAGAGAGAAUAGAAUCACACAAGAAGAUACGGAAGCUGGAAGAUCUUCUGAGGGAGAGGGAGGAGCACCUGACUCAGGUGAUGGAGGCACAGAGACUACAAGCCCAGCAGGCUGAUGCUGCCUUGGAGGAGUUUAAGCGGCAGGUGGAGCUGAACUCAGAAAAAGUGUACGCAGAAAUGAAAGAACAGAUGGAAAAGGUAGAAGCAGAUCUUGGCAAAUCAAAAUCUUUCCGGGAGAAGCAGUCAAAAGAGUUCUCCUGGCAGUUGGAGGAGCUGAAGCAAAAAUAUGAACAACAGAUAGUAGAGCUGAAGCUGGAGCACGAACAGGAAAAGACGCACCUAUUCCAAGAACAUAACACAGAAAAGGAUUGCCUGGUCCGAGACCAUGAACGGGAAAUUGAGAAACUAGAAAAACAGCUUCGGGCUGCCAUGACAGACUACGACAAUAAAACCCAGGAAUAUAGGAAACGAGAUGCUCAGAUCAUCUGUGACAUGGAAGCCCAGAUCCAUACUCUGAGGGAAGAGCUGAUUCAGGUGAAUACUCAAAGAAAACAGCAGUUGGUAGAACUUAGUCUUCUUCGGGAAGAAGAAAAACAAAGAGCUUCUAGAGAUCAUGAGACUGCCAUGAACAAACAGAAAACUGAGUCAGAAAAAAUGAUUCUGGACCUGAGGAAGACUAAUGCUGCAGAAAAGGAAAUGACACUGGAAAAGGCCAACAGCAAGUUGAAGCAGAUUGAAAAGGAAUACAGUCAGAAGCUCGCCAAAUCUUCACAGAUCAUAACUGAACUUAAGACAACCAUUUCCUCUCUGACAGAGGAAAGCAACCAGCGGCAACUUGCUGGAGAAAGGCGUCUGCAAGAUGUUUUACAAAAGUUUGAAGAUGAGAAGCAGCAGCUGAUUAGAGAUAAUGACACAGCAAUCAAGGGUUUACAAGAUGAGAUUGAAAGUUACUGCAAUCAGGUUCAUUCUGCAGAAGAAAAGCUGCAACAGAAAGAUCUGGAGACACAGGAACAGGUGACUUCUAUACGGCAAGAAUAUGAAACCAAAUUGAAAGGUCUAAUGCCAGCAUCUUUGCGACAAGAACUUGAAGACACAAUUCUCUCACUAAAAUCUCAGGUAAACUUUUUACGAAAAAGAGCAUCAAUUCUACAAGAGGAACUGAGUACAUAUCGCACCAGAAGGUAAUUACUGAAAGUGACAGUUGUUUCAAGCGUCGAAUGGAUUUCUUUCAACAGGGAUAGAUCAUCAUGCAACACUUGAAAAAGAAGUUCAACUUCUGUCUGUCAUGAUUGCCACCCUCGGUGUAGAUGGCUUCCCGGAGAUGCAGGCUUGCUUGCGUUCCCUGAGGCUUUUUCAAGGUGAGCAACCAGAGGUUAGCAGGUGAGGUGUUGGGGAGCUAUUAAUAUGCAAAGACUGCUUGCUUAUUCAUGUUCCUGCUCCCAAAGAGUUCACACCACUGAAGGUUGGAUAUUAAAAUUAAUUAUUGUAUGCCAUCCUGGAGUAACUUUUCAUGAGAUGGGCAGCUAUAUACCGGUAAAUUUGAUUAAUAAAUAAAUAAAAGCCAACAUCCUACUUCCUUGCAUUAUUGUUGUGCUUUAGAAAGAAGACAAGACCUUUCUUUUUAAGCAGGCCUUUCAGUUUUAAUUUGUCAAUGGUGACUUUUAAUUGCUAACUCUUAUUGAACUUUCAAACUGCCUGGGUGGAAAAGAUGGGUGUCAAUCAAAUAAACUCUCAGUGCCAAUUGCCGUCAGCCCAAGGUGUUCAUUGUUCUGAGCGUGAAUUCAGAACAGGGGAUUAAGAGUUAUUUAUUUUAUGUGCUACUCCUUCUGAAGACUAUUAGGAAACCAGCUGCUCCUUACAUCUUGAUCAACAUUACCUUCCUAUCAGUCAGAACAGGUAUGAUUCUUGGCAUUAUUCAAGGAGCUAGUCAUUUAAAAAAUGCUUUUUGUUGCGUAAGUGCCUGCAUUGUGAGGGAGUGUUUUUUUAUGUAGACCAAUGUCUUCUGAGAUUUAGAAUACAUAAAAAGCUUUUUUCUGCAGAUACAGCAGAAUGAAAUAGUGUGAAAAUCUUUGCCUCUCUCUUUGCAAAUACUCAGCUUAAAAAUGCUUGUUCCAGGGAUUUUUUUUUCCUCCUGAUUGUUCAGUUAGUUUAUAUUUCUUUCGGUCCUUAAAAUGAUGGGUUGUUUUUUUUUAAUCUGUUACAUUUGCACUGUUUGAUUGGAUUGAUUCUGUUAUUUUUGUUUUGUUAAUGAUGUUGUGUAUUGGUAGUAUUCACCCAAGACAACAUUAUAUAGAACAUUUAAAUAUAAAUAAAAUAAUUUGGAUUUGAAUGUGGUCUUUGAAUUUAACCACAGUGAGCUUGGUCCAGCUUUAUAAAUUUUCUAAGACAUGUUCUAACAAAUGUUGAGUUGGGCAGAGGAUAAGUAACAUUAAUUAAGAUUCAUAUUCCUCACUAGCGAUAAGAAUGGACUAUUUUCUUUUUCAUAUAGUGAUUUUAUUAAAAGCACAAUUGUGAAAGUAAAAACUAAUACAAAUAAAAAAUUUAAAAAAUACAGGAAAGAAGAAAAAUAUAAAAAUAUAAAAAUAAAAUAUAAUAAAGAAAAACAGAAAUAUUUAUUUAUCAAAUUUCACUUGUAUUUAAUACUUCAUUCAUUAAGGAUUGAAGGAAGUUCUAAUAACUAAAAAAUAGUUAACAAGUAUUUCUAAAAGUGCUAGAAAAGGAAGAGUGCAAAUCCCAGUAUUCUUUCAAAGGCACCAAUUAUGGUUUUAGCAAGACGGCUAUUCGCUUGUUUCCCAAAACUAAACCUAUGGGGGUCUGCUGUCUUGUGUUCUUCUUGCAAAGAGUAGCUGUCUGGAGUACUUGUAGGUGAUCUCAAGUCCUCUUUAUCCAGAAAGGAAUUAUGAAGAGCCAGUCUACUUGCCAGUUCUUCAUUAUGCCACCAAUUUAGUGCAAUAAAAUAAUUUGUGUCCAAUAUUAGCUACACUUUAGCAAAGUUUUACUUAUAAUAUAGGGGUAUGAUUGGGUUCAUGAACCUUUUGAGACAGUUAACUAGUUACUACAUUUUCACCAUUCCCACAGUUCUACAGUAUUUACAGCAGCUAAUAAUAGCCCCACAUUCAUUGAUUGAUUGAAUUUAUAUCCCACCUUCCAGGAGUACAGGGUAGCCUAUAUAACAUUCCCUCUUCCAAUUUUUCCCCACAACCGUCAUCUUGUGUGAUAGAUUUGAGUGAGAAUGAUUGGUCCAAAGUCACCCAGUGAACUUUCAUGACUGAUGGUACACUUGAAUGUGAGUUCCCCUAUAUUAAUUCAGUACCUUAAGGUACUCAUUAAGUGUACUACAUUCCUGUGUGUUUUAUUUAUGUAUUUAUUUGCAGUAUACUUGGAUACAAAUUAUCCUACACACUCCCGAUUUUGAAGAAACUAUUUAAAAUAGCAUGAGUUUCAGUUCCGAACGUUAAUCAAGAUAACAUCUUUAGUUGAAGGGGCAGAAUGUUGAAGCUUCAAGUUUAUGAAAUUGCCUGGAGAAUCCCUUCAACAAUGCACAAGGAUGAUAAUGCUUUAAGCUAAAGUACUUUUUAAGAACUUCCAAUUACUUUUAAUAGAGUGUCUUUUUAAUUUGUUGUUUAGCAUUAUCCUCAAAUGAGAAUUGUCCCAGAUGUCUGGUGAAGUCAGACAAGAUGCACAAAUGCUGAAAUGAUAAUACCCUUCAGAGAUUUUAACAUACCACAACAUUCUUGUUAUUUUUGCUAAAGAAGAUUAACAUGGCUUCUCCUUUGGAAAUUGUUCAAGAUAAUGUGGAAGAGAAGUUACUUUAGGAAAAAGCUUCCAAUCCUAUGCAUCAGAAUUCAUGCUACUUUGAAACAGGAGCCAUUCACCCCCACAAAAAUUGUAUUGUUUCAAAAGAGGAAUUUUCAGACUGACUACUUUUCAUGGUACAAAGGCU